GGCCAGGUGGUCUAGUGGUCAGGACGUUGGCCUCGUAAGCUGAAGACGUGGGUUCGAUACCCCGCCUCGGCCA